AUAAAAAGGAAAAACAGGGCAAUCCUUCUAUUACGCAAGCACAAUAGUUUCAUGGUCUUUGCAGACACAGCAUGGUGUAUGGCUGUGAUGAAAAACUUACUUGACUUUGUCCUCUUUGCCUCUAGCCAGACAUAGGGCAUCAACGACCUUCCUCCAUCUGACCUUGUUGGGGGCCGUUCUCUAUAGUCACAUGAGCAAAAACUUAAUCAUACUUGUCUCCGACCACACACACACAUCCAUGAUGUGGUCCAAAGUCAGGCCAAAACAAAUCACUUGAUUGUCACAGAAAUAUUUCUUAAGUUUGGACAUUCCCUCUUACUUAAAAAACAUGCCAAUGAUCCAUUUGAGCUGUUUUGUUACACAGACUCACCCUCAUAGAAACGAUGCAUUUUCUCUUAGAAGUAAAGACUUGUAUAUAUAUAUGUCUAUAUGGGCAUCUCAGCACUCUAGGGCUUGUUGUUGUUGUUGUUGUUGUUCCUCAGUUAGACUCAAAUAAAACACAAAUAAAGCUUCUCUCCAUUUAUGACAUUUUCCUCUAUGUCUGGGUCAGGCAUAUGGUGCUUCUAUCAGAAAACAAAUUUGGUGUCUGUGCUUCUCAUCAAUCAACAGUUGAGAAAGAUAUUAGCUAUUUUAGGGAGACUUUUUUUAACUGCACCACUAAAGCAGUGUAAAUGCAAGCUGAAUCCAUCCACAUUCACAUCAGUCUUUUCCUGGCUAGAGGGUUUCCAAACCUUGGAAACGCAGACCUUUAGGGUAAAUGGAACAUCCUUUUAUCUGGUCACAUACAGCCCACAGCAACCAGCUAAUUGAAAGAGGAAUGCAAAUGAGAAAAAUACCAGGGUGUUUGCAGGAACUUAAGUUCAGAGUGGCAUAAGUAAACAUAAGUAAAAGGAGUUUGAAAAUAAAUAGAUCGUUGUUUGGGUGGGAUGCUGGGAGUCUUUGGUUGGGUUAGAGUUUGAGAAGGCAGUGGAAAUCUCCUCAAGUCAAGCUGCUGCGGUUAUCUGUGCCGAAGCAAAACUGGUCAUCAGUGUUGAAUGCACAAGGCCUGAGCCAUUCAUAAGCAGUUAGAUAACCCAAGACCUGAAGCAAAGUACUCAUCAUGGCUAAUAAAACUGUGGCCACAGAGUUUUCAUAUAAAACUCUCACUUGCUUAAAGGGCACUUUACAUUCAUCUACUGUAUAUGAUGCUGCCACAGUAAAAUUAGCAGUAAUAUUUGCAGUGUUAAAAGUUAUUAAUUCCCAAAGAGUUGAAUUAACAAUCUACAGUGUUAAACAGUACUCGUGUUCAGUGUUGUCACACGGUGUAAUAUUUAUCUAAUUUCACUUUUACACUGAAAGUGUAAAAAAAAAAACCGCCGAAUUUAUCUGACUCCGCCCCUCAAGCACCACUGCCUAGCAAAGCGACGACGCCAUGUUAUCUUCAGGCGACCGAGAAGGUUUACAGUGUUAUGUUCGUGAGGUGUAGAGAUGCAACGUUAGCCUACAGAAGAGUGAAAGUUUCUCAUGCCGUUUUGAUUUCCUGAAAUAAGAUCAUCUCUCCUUCAUGCCCGCCGAGUCUGAAGCAGCAACAUUUGGCCGGUUUUCUGCUCCGAGGAGAGAAUUCAUCAAAUGAAGCCAAGUUCCUGGCUUUUCCCAAGACCUUCAAGGACACGAUUGACCUCGGAAUCAGCUGUAAAGGAGGAUGAAACCGAUGUCUAAGGCACUAAUAAGAAGAAUACCUUGUAGAGACCACACAGCCAUACCUGCUCGCUGAUGGGACAAAGAGGAACAGCGUUCAUGGAUGCUAUACAACUCAAGUCAAGUCAAGUCACCUUUAUUUAUAUAGCGCUUUUAACAAUACAGAUUGUGUCAAAGCACUUAACAGUAUCAAAUUGGAGGAUAGAGUGUCAGUAAUGUAUAAUGAUAAGAUUAAACACUCAAUUUUCAGUUAAAGGCAUUUCAUUAUUGAAUUCAGAGAUGUCAUUGUCUAGCUCAGUUUAGUUUAAAUAGUAUCUGUGCAAUCAAAUCGGCGAUAAUCUCUAGAAAUUAAGUGUCCCCAACUGAGCAAGCCAGAGGCGACAGCGGCAAGGAACCAAAACUCCCUCUGAGACAGAAUGGAGAAAAAAAAAAAACCUUGGGAGAAACCAGGCUCAGUCGGGGGGCCAGUUCUCCUCUGGUCAGAUGAAACCCGCAGUUCAAAAGUUUAUAUUUCUAUUUUAAUUUUGUUGCAAUUUCUAACAAUAGUAGUAUUAUGUAGUUAGGUAUUUUAUUAUAUUUUUAGUUAUUUUGUUAUAUUUUUUAGUUUUAUUGUAUUAUAAUCGAGGUUUUCGCUGGGGAUAUGUCUCUGGGGGUCAUCUGGGUGUCCUGGUCUCCGCUGACGAUCAGGGCCGUAGACAUCAUCUCUUGGUGCUGAUCUACCAUCUGAUCGGAUACGGACUGAGAAACAGAAUAGGAACGAAACAGACAAAUAUUAGCGUAGAUGCCAUUCUACGAGUACAUCGUGUGUUAUGGGGAGUGUUCCUGGUUCCGGUUGAUGUAAUUAAUGCAGCCUAACAGUCCUUUAACGGAUUUGAAUAAUAGAAGCGUAUUAGUGUGUUAUGUGUAAGCCAGGCUAAAGAGAUGGGUCUUUAAUCUAGAUUUAAACUGACAGAGUGUGUCUCCCUCCCGAACAGUGUUAGGUAGAUUGUUCCAGAGUUUGGGUGCUAAAUAGGAAAAGGAUCUGCCGCCCGCAGUCGAUUUUGAUAUUCUAGGUAUUAUCAAACGGCCAGAGUUUUGAGAACGCAGUGGACGUGGAGGACUAUAUUGUGAUAAGAGCUCGCUCAAGUACUGAGGAGCUAAACCAUUCAGGGCUUUAUAAGUAAUUAACAAGAUUUUAAAAUCUAUCCGAUGUUUGAUAGGGAGCCAGUGCAGUGUUGACAGAACCGGGCUAAUAUGGUCAUAUUUCCUGGUUCUAGUAAGGACUCUAGCUGCUGCAUUUUGGACCAACUGUAGUUUGUUGAUCAAGCGUGCAGAACAACCACCCAAUAAAGCAUUACAAUAGUCUAACCUUGAGGUCAUAAACGCAUGAAUUAACAUUUCUGCAUUUGACGUUGAGAGCAUAGGUCGCAAUUUAGAUAUGCUUUUGAGAUGAAAAAACGCAGUUUUACAGAUGCUAGAAACAUGGCUUUCAAAUGAAAGAUUGCUAUCAAACAGCACACCUAGGUUCCUGACUGAUGAAGAAGAAUUGACAGAGCAGCCAUCAAGUGUUAGAUAAUGUUCUAGGUUAUUACAUGUGGGGUUUUUAGGUCCGAUAAUUAACACCUCUGUUUUUUCAGAAUUUAGCAGAAUUUAGCCACAACUGUCGACAAGUAUCUUGCUGCAAUCUUGUUCAAAUCAUAUUCAAAUCGUAUACCUGUCAUAUUUGUUAAUGUCUAGGUAAAUUUGAUGAUUUCAUGCGUUUUAUUAACUAUUUUAUGUUUCCGUGCAACACUUCAUGAAUGUGACUGACUAAUUAACCUCUACACAUCUGGUAUAUGCUUUAAAAUUGCCACUUUGCCCAUUUGUUAAAUAAACGUUGGAAUUUGUAAAUCUGUCUGAAGA